UGUAAGCAUCAUCCCGGCCGGCAGGGGGCAGCAGACUCCAGACCUAUGCUCCGACACAGCUGGGUGGAGAAGGGACUUCUUGGCCUCUGCUGGCCCAGAGCUGCACCUGACUCCCAGGGCGAGGACAGAAGAAGGACGUGGGAUGAAGGACUCUACCUCCCACAAACCAACUCCAAAGAGAACAAGACUGUGUUCAAGAGACACUUAAGAGAACACUUAAGGCGGGUCACAGCUACGGAGUGCGCCUGCGCAGUACUGCAUCCGGAGUGAGAAGCCAUGGUCUAACUGAUGAUCAUCUUAAACAAAGGACUGAAACCAGUGCCUGAGCAAAGGAGACUUUGUUGGCAUCAAAAAGGCCCUCAGUGGCGGAUCCUGAGGUGAUGGCUGGAGUGAAGAUCAGUUGGACCAACACCACCAGAAACCUGUCCCGCAGAGCUCCAAUCCUUGCCCUUGCAAUGUUUGUGGAUGGAAUUUAGGUCACCAGACAUCUGCUCUCUGAUAUCACAUCAUGAAUAAAGACUUUUCCAGUCUCCUAGCUCUUGUGUCAGUUUCUCUGGACAAGUGGCAGAGGCUACCCAGUCUCACAGCCCUUCUUUAGCCUCUUGGGACAGGUGGUAGAGCCUAGAGCACUGGGCUCCCUGGUUCAGGGGAUUUUACCCUGGCUUGAUCUCAGAGAGAGAGAGAGAGCUGAUAGCCCAGCUAGGGCAGUUGUUCUGAGGACACUGGGGACUGGGGUAUGGAUACAGACACAUUAGAGGUGACUCUGAGUGAGGAGGAACAUGGAGGGGUCCCUGGCAUGUGAUUCUGUGGCUGGAUGCUGUGCAUUUGCAUCAUGGAGACUGAAGAUGCCCAAGAGAAGCAAAUAGAGAAGAGAAAGAUUUCUCCUCUGCUGAUUGCAGGCUGCUCAAGCCUCGUUCAGGAGGGAACCAGGAAGCCAUACACUUCAUGUGUCUUGGAGAGGAAGGGACGCUGAGGUCAGGGCAGCUGAUGAAGAAGAGGCACGGACGUUGUGACUCAUCUGUAAGGAUUUCUGAUGAGACUGAUAGAAACCUGUUUUGGUUUUGUGUGAGAUACUAAGCAGACAUGAGUUCCCACAUGUCUGUUCAGACAAUGUACUGAUAAUGUUACCAGUGGUAGUGUGU